CCUACGGGCGGCAGCAGUGGGGAAUAUUGGACAAUGGGGGGAACCCUGAUCCAGCCAUGCCGCGUGUGUGAAGAAGGCCCUCGGGUUGUAAAGCACUUUCAGUGAGGAAGAACGCCUGGUGGUUAAUACCCAUCAGGAAAGACAUCACUCACAGAAGAAGCACCGGCUAACUCCGUGCACAGCAGCCGCGGUAAUACGGAGGGUGCGAGCGUUAAUCGGAAUUACUGGGCGUAAAGCGCGCGUAGGUGGCUUGAUAAGCCGGUUGUGAAAGCCCCGGGCUCAACCUGGGAACGGCAUCCGGAACUGUCAAGCUAGAGUGCAGGAGAGGAAGGUAGAAUUCCCGGUGUAGCGGUGAAAUGCGUAGAGAUCGGGAGGAAUACCAGUGGCGAAGGCGGCCUUCUGGACUGACACUGACACUGAGGUGCGAAAGCGUGGGUAGCAAACAGGAUUAGAUACCCCUGUAGUC
rnacentral:rRNA from 1 species